UACGGGGGGGGCAAGCGUUGUUCGGAAUUACUGGGCGUAAAGGGCUCGUAGGUGGCCAACUAAGUCAGACGUGAAAUCCCUCAGCUUAACUGGGGAACUGCGUCUGAUACUGGAUGGCUUGAGUUUGGGAGAGGGAUGCGGAAUUCCAGGUGUAGCGGUGAAAUGCGUAGAUAUCUGGAGGAACACCUAUUGCGAAGGCAGCUCGCUGGGACGUUACUGACGCUGAGACGCGAAAGCGUGGGGAGCAAACAGG
rnacentral:rRNA from 1 species